UACGUAGGGUGCAAGCGUUAAUCGGAAUUACUGGGCGUAAAGCGUGCGCAGGCGGUUUUGUAAGACAGGCGUGAAAUCCCCUGGCUCAACCUGGGAAUGGCGCUUGUGACUGCAAAGGUGGAGUGGGGCAGAGGGGGAUGGAAUUCCGCGUGUAGCAGUGAAAUUCGUAGAUAUGCGGAGGAACACCGAUGGCGAAGGCAAUCCCCUGGGCCUGCACUGACGCUCAUGCACGACAGCGUGGGGAGCAAACAGG
rnacentral:rRNA from 1 species